CGCUUAGCGCCUCCUUUGCCCAGACCCUUCCCGCCUUUGCCGCGCCCAGACAUGUCUUGUACUAAACAAAAUGCAACACGGCAAGCCUCGCAGCAGUACUUUAUAUAGUAAUAAAUCGGACCUGAUUGGGAACUCUCCACACCAGCUGCAUCCGGUCGGCCGAUUCACAGACCUUGCGCCCUGCCCACGACUUCAGGAAAAAAUGGAAAAGGGGGUACUUAAACUCCAGUUUCUAAAAAUGAUGCCCAGUUAAAAAUUACUCAGCUCAUCUUGCCCUUCUACAGUGUUUUAGGCUGACCACCGCUGCAUUCCAUUGUCUGGGUCUUUGCAGCCUGUUUUUCCUGUCACCUCUUAGCAUCGAUUGUUCUAGUGCUUUGUGGCUGCUGGAAUCAAAUGGCGCCAUCUCUAGAGGGGUAAUCACAGUCGUUUCGGGCAUUUGUGAAAUAGCGUGUAGAAACUGCUUCCGUACAAACUCGAAGUGAUCAGCCUAUGGAGUGGCUGACUGCAAAAGACGACGCCUGAUGAUAGCUCCAAGAAAUGUUUCCUGUUUUGGAACACAAGAUUGGAAAAUGUUGCUUUAUGAAGCAGAAGCUAACCGAAAUCAUAAAAAUAAAUAAAUAUAAAAUAAAAAAUAAGAAAGACUGGCCAUUAGCAGAAGUGACAUCAUUAAAGUGAUUUGUUUCUGUGUUACUGAUCAAACUGGAUUAUUUCCCAAAUCUUGACCAGUGUGACUUCUCAAUCCAAUCUUAUCAGAGAAUUUAGGUGUAUUUCCCCAUUUCUGAGGGUGAAGGUCAUUUUAAACUUCUGCUUUGAUUUCUGAAGUUUCAAUAAUUUGAGUCUCUG
rnacentral:lncRNA from 10 species